UAGAGUUUGACUGGCUCAGGAUGAACGCUAGCGGCAGGCUUAACACAUGCAAGUCGAGGGGUAUAGUUCUUCGGAAUUAGAGACCGGCGCACGGGUGCGUAACGCGUAUGCAAUCUACCUUUUACAGAGGGAUAGCCCAGAGAAAUUUGGAUUAAUACCUCAUAGUAUAAUGACUUGGCAUCAAGACAUUAUUAAAGUCACAACGGUAAAAGAUGAGCAUGCGUCCCAUUAGCUAGUUGGUAAGGUAACGGCUUACCAAGGCUACGAUGGGUAGGGGUCCUGAGAGGGAGAUCCCCCACACUGGUACUGAGACACGGACCAGACUCCUACGGGAGGCAGCAGUGAGGAAUAUUGGACAAUGGGCGCAAGCCUGAUCCAGCCAUGCCGCGUGCAGGAUGACGGUCCUAUGGAUUGUAAACUGCUUUUAUACGAGAAGAAACACUACUUCGUGAAGUAGCUUGACGGAUCGAAGAAAGA
rnacentral:rRNA from 1 species